GGUACCCCCUGCUGGCCCCGCCUCCUCAUCAGGUUCACCUGAGGACUCCAGCUGCGCUUCAUCAUCUUCAUCAGCCGGGGGACUCUUAAGGAGAACCAGGACCCUUACUCGACGCUAGUUCGUUGUACUCCACGGAUCACGAUCACGCCUGUCACGUUCUGGACUCCGACUCACCUUCGCUCUGGUCCCUCCUCGUCGCCCCUCUGGACAUCCUUCUGGAAACGCGGUGUUCGCCGCCAAGACCCUCCAACCAUCCACAAAACAUCCUCUCUUGGAACUCUGUCAUUCCUCCAUUAAAUCCUUUACUACUCGUC